rnacentral:rRNA from 1 species
AUGGACCGCCGCGACGGGGCGGGCAAUCGGGGCCGGAGCUACGCGCGCGGCAACGCCCGCGGCCGAGGAUGGCGGGGCCGAUGUGAAGACCGCGGCCGCCCCUCCACACAACCUCCUCCCUCCACCGCCUCUGCCGCCGCGGUCAUCCCCAGCGACGCCCCGCCGAUCGUGGGCACCUGUCCCGACAUGUGCCCGGCUACGGAGAGAGCGCAGAGGGAGCGGCUCCGGGAUCUGGCCGUGUUCGAGCGUGUGUGCAGCGACCCCAUGCGCACGUCCCAUUCCCUCGCCGUCAAGAAGUUUUGCAGAACUAUCUCGUCUACCGGCAUACAGGCAUCAGAUAUACGCCCUCUUCCAGUCUUACGAGAAACGAUGGAUUAUCUUUGGCAUUUACUAAAUUCUUCAGAUUACCCAUUUGAGAUCGUUCAUGAUUUCAUAUUUGAUAGAACAAGGUCUGUGAGACAAGAUCUUAGUAUACAGAAUUUGGUGAAUGAUCAAGCUAUUGGCAUAUAUGAGGAUGUGAUAAAGUUUCAUAUUCUGUCCCAUCAAAGACUUGCGAGGUCUUGCCAGGAUUCUGAUGCAUCUUCCUUGUGUUACCUGAACACGGAACAAAUGAUGAAAUGCCUUCUUUCUCUGUUUGAUAUGUAUCAUACAAUUCAUAAAAUCAAUUCCCAAAGCAAUAAAGAGGCUGAGUAUUAUUCCUUCUUUGUGCUUCUACAUUUGGGUUGCAAGAUACCCAAAAUGGCAAACUCACUCUCUUUUUGGUAUAGCCAAUUACCAGCUUCAAUAGUACGAUCAAAGGAAAUGAUAUUUGCUAGAACUAUAUUGAGAUGCUACCACCUUGGGAAUUUCAAGCGUUUCUUUUGCAUGAUAGCAGAUGAAGCAACCGAGCUUCAGUUGUGUUUGGUAGAACCUUUCCUCAAUGAGGUCCGUGCUAGAGCAUUAAUGUACCUCAACCAUAGCGGCUACAAACUUCAGCACCAUCCUUUGACACAUUUGUCAGAUAUCCUGAUGAUUGAGGAGUUGGAGCUGGAAGAUCUCUGUAGAAUAUGUGGGCUUGAAAUUAGCAGAAGCGGGGAUACUAAAGCAUUUGCUCCCAAACAAACAACCUUCAGCCUACCAACGCCAUCAUCUAAAAGUAGUGGCAUUUACAUCUCAAGGGAGAUCAAAAGAUGA